UAGGGCCAGUUUGAGUGUGAUGGUGACAGCCAUCAACUGCCAAGAACUGCUAGAAAGGCUUUCAGCACGCAUGGAGAUUGAAAAGGAUUCUUCAGUGCAAAAACACAAUGUUGAGGCUAAUGAAGUGCAGGAUAUGAAUGGAAUUGAAAAAGUUGAGGAAUCUGAAACAGCUGAAGAAGCUACAAAUGGAUGAAGUUAUUGUAAAUUCUAAGUUUUUAUGCUAAUUUACGUGCAUUAGUCUUUGGCGUUAUUACUGACACAGCAGAGUACUGCUUUCUUCCGGCCCUAUUUUGGAUCAAAACCUUACAAUAUUCUUGGUCUUCUCUUUUAUGUGGAAAUGACCAAACAUUUUUGUUGUAAUUGGCAACUCUAAAUUUGCUAUUGAGUUGAAAAUAUUUGCUGCUGAAAAUAUCAUAUUCUCCAAGUAUCGGUGGCUGGCGAGAGGAUUAUUAAAAAUCAUUCCGUGCGAUCCUAGAGCUGCCAGCCCUUCGUAGUGGAUUGAAUUUUCCUUCU
rnacentral:misc_RNA from 1 species